CUGGGAUUGGUAUGUAAAAUGAAAAAGAUAGUUUGAAUAAAAUAAGUUAAAACCCUGUCCCUUCUGAGUUUCCACAGCCCGAAGAAUGUCUUGAAGACAAGGUCAUCUAAAGAGAUAUUCCUGGCAGAGAAGAAAAAAAGGACUUCUCCAAUGCAGAGCGCACAGAGAUGACUCAGUGGGUCAUGUUAGCUGCACAGGAGUGAAGACCCGAGUUCAUAUCCCCAGUACCAGGUCUGUGAAGCUAUUUCCAGGAAGAAUUAACUGAGAGGGUAAGACCCAAACCCAGCGUGAGCAGUAUCUUCCUAUGGUGAUUCAGAUUGGAAAAGGUCUAAGCAAAGACAGUGUUUGCCUGCCUUUGCUCUCUGCUAUGUCUACUGAAGACCAGGAAUUUUUGAUUGGAACUGCCAAGGCAUCCAGGCUUGUGGAUUGAGCAACCACUGCCUGCUCAACUUCAGCAAUGUGGAGACAACUAUUGUUGGGCCACUCAGCA